GGCCGGCCCCAGGGGAGCCCAAACCCCCGAGGGGGCAAAGCCCGCGGAGCGCUAAGUCUCGCUCCAAGGCCUUGCGCAGGCGUUGCCCUCUGUCUCAGCUCCUCCGACGGCCCGGAUCCUCCAGACCAGGUGUUCUCGGUGAGCAGCACGUAUGGACCCCAUCUGUGUCACUGUGAGUCAGCCCCUCUGUGGCCUCAUGAGAAACCAGCCCUGCCAACACCUUGAUCCUGGACUUCCAGCCUUCAGAACUGUGGGAGAGUAAAUGUCUGUGGUAUCUUG